CUUCUUCUUCCAGGCCGUCGACUUCACAGAGACCUGGAUAUACGCCAGAGAUGUUCCCACAUUAUGAUCCUUGGUCAUCAUUUCCACAGGUGCCAGUUAGUGAUCUACAUAUGGGAGACGGAGAUGAGGACAUAAACUUGGAUAUUAUUUUCGAUGACUACUUUCUUCGUCCUACAGCCAGGCCUACGGCACCAUCUGCAUCUCCGGCUCCGCGGGCCGCUCAGGAGCCCUCUCACAUGCCAUCUCAGGAGCCCGUCGACACACAGGUUUGUUUUUUUACAAUAAAAUAAUGUAUUAAUUAAUUAUUUUAUUAAUCUAAACUAAAUUAUUUACAUGUAUUAUAGGUUCAUUCUUCUGCGCCUGUGGACCCGUCUCCACCUCCAGCUACAGCUCCGAGUAGCGCUCAGGAGACCGUUGAGGAGCCAGCUAAGAAGCCCUCUGACCAGCCAUCUCAGGAGGCCAUCGACACACAGGUUCAUUCUUCUGCUCCUGUGGUCCAGUCUCCUUCGAUUGAGUCAUCUCCUGAGGCAUCUACUGAGGCUACUCAGGUGGAGACCGCCGCCGUCUCCCACAGGAAGCAUAUUUUCACCCAGGGCCUGAAGAAGGGAAGAAAGGAUGAUCAUGCCAUAAAUCAUCCUGUCAUUAAGAGGAGGAGAGAGGAUCCUGAUGAUAGUGAGAGUGGUGGGGUUAGGAGGAUCCUUAGGCCUUAGGAGAUUGUAUAUUUGUAAAUAAAAUGUACAUUUUAUGUUAAUAUUAUAUAUAUUUUUGGGUAUUAUUUUUUUAAUGAUAAUUAGUUAUUUUAGUAUUUA